AGAGGUCAGCAAGCCACAACAGGGGCUGGAUGCCCCACCGCAGGCAGACACUUUUGUGUGCCUGUGUGCAGCUGGGAAACUUCUGACCUCUUUCACAAAAUAGCGUAUCCAGAAGAAGGCAAAGGCAACUGACAAAAUGGCCAACAUGGGCCCAAAUUGGUUGAAAAGCUGGGUACUCCCACAGCACAUGGGAUUUUGGGAGUGGACUUUAAAACAUAACACACACAGAAGUCUCUCUCUUCCCUGUUUCAUACCCCUGUGGACAGUGCUCACAGGAGCACUCAUGGCCAAUGGACACUGGACCUGCUUAAGGUCUGUUCAGAGAUUAGGCCUCACGUGGUCAGAAGCCAGCUUGCAGAGGCAGACUCUCAUGCUGGGAUGUGCCUCACUGGGUGCCAGCCCUUGGCAUGCUAAAACCCUGUGCAGCACAGCACAUGGGUCUUAGACUGCUUCCAUUCUCUUACCCUGAGAGUAGUGGACAGAAGCUACAAGCAACACAUGGAGGCAUGACCUGGUAAUGUUCCUUCACCCCAGAUGCAUGGGCAGACUCAAGCACUGGGGUCUCACAGAUGGAGCAUCCCCUGUAAUACCGUGGAGUGAUCUGGCAAUGCAUGGCAAACUCAGGAGAAAGAGUGAACUGCAGGAGGCAAUGGUGAUGCUAAAACCCAUAAGGACAGACCAGAGGUAGAGAGAGUCUGAGGAUGGAGACCCAUUCAUGUAGCCGUCUUGAGCUCUGAAAGAACAGCUGGACCCCAGGCUGACUGGUCAUAACUUCAACCUCAAAGAUGCCUUUCCACCCACCUAAAGGAGCACCUCCUGCCCACUCACCAGUUUCUUCUGCCUUCCCACAGCAUUGAUUGCAUCCAGAUAUAUUACAAUAUUGUUUAUUGUUUAUUGUCUGAGUUAUGUGAGCGCAGGAACUUGGUCUAUUCAGUUCAUUGAUGUAUCCCCACUGUCUAGAAAGGUACCUGGUUCAAAACAGGCCUUCACAAAUAUUUGCUGAAUAAAUGUUAAAUGUAAAAAAAAAGCCCCAGUCAAUU